rnacentral:rRNA from 1 species
UUUAGGUAGCGCCUCGUGAAUUCAUCUCCGGGGGUAGAGCACUGUUUCGGCUAGGGGGCCAUCCCGGCUUACCAACCCGAUGCAAACUGCGAAUACCGGAGAAUGUUAUCACGGGAGACACACGGCGGGUGCUAACGUCCGUCGUGAAGAGGGAAACAACCCAGACCGCCAGCUAAGGUCCCAAAGUCAUGGUUAAGUGGGAAACGAUGUGGGAAGGCCCAGACAGCCAGGAUGUUGGCUUAGAAGCAGCCAUCAUUUAAAGAAAGCGUAAUAGCUCACUGGUCGAGUCGGCCUGCGCGGAAGAUGUAACGGGGCUAAACCAUGCACCGAAGCUGCGGCAGCGACGCUGAUGCGUUGUUGGGUAGGGGAGCGUUCUGUAAGCCUGCGAAGGUGGCCUGUGAGGGUUGCUGGAGGUAUCAGAAGUGCGAAUGCUGACAUAAGUAACGAUAAAGCGGGUGAAAAGCCCGCUCGCCGGAAGACCAAGGGUUCCUGUCCAACGUUAAUCGGGGCAGGGUGAGUCGACCCCUAAGGCGAGGCCGAAAGGCGUAGUCGAUGGGAAACGGGUUAAUAUUCCCGUACUUGGUGUUACUGCGAAGGGGGGACGGAGAAGGCUAUGUUGGCCGGGCGACGGUUGUCCCGGUUUAAGCGUGUAGGUGUGUGUUCCAGGUAAAUCCGGUUCACUUUAACACUGAGGCGUGAUGACGAGGCACUACGGUGCUGAAGCAACAAAUGCCCUGCUUCCAGGAAAAGCCUCUAAGCAUCAGGUAACAUCAAAUCGUACCCCAAACCGACACAGGUGGUCAGGUAGAGAAUACCAAGGCGCUUGAGAGAACUCGGGUGAAGGAACUAGGCAAAAUGGUGCCGUAACUUCGGGAGAAGGCACGCUGACACGUAGGUGAAGUGAUUUACUCAUGGAGCUGAAGUCAGUCGAAGAUACCAGCUGGCUGCAACUGUUUAUUAAAAACACAGCACUGUGCAAACACGAAAGUGGACGUAUACGGUGUGACGCCUGCCCGGUGCCGGAAGGUUAAUUGAUGGGGUCAGCGCAAGCGAAGCUCCUGAUCGAAGCCCCGGUAAACGGCGGCCGUAACUAUAACGGUCCUAAGGUAGCGAAAUUCCUUGUCGGGUAAGUUCCGACCUGCACGAAUGGCGUAAUGAUGGCCAGGCUGUCUCCACCCGAGACUCAGUGAAAUUGAACUCGCUGUGAAGAUGCAGUGUACCCGCGGCAAGACGGAAAGACCCCGUGAACCUUUACUAUAGCUUGACACUGAACAUUGAGCCUUGAUGUGUAGGAUAGGUGGGAGGCUUUGAAGUGUGGACGCCAGUCUGCAUGGAGCCGACCUUGAAAUACCACCCUUUAAUGUUUGAUGUUCUAACGUGGACCCGUGAUCCGGGUUGCGGACAGUGUCUGGUGGGUAGUUUGACUGGGGCGGUCUCCUCCUAAAGAGUAACGGAGGAGCACGAAGGUUGGCUAAUCCUGGUCGGACAUCAGGAGGUUAGUGCAAUGGCAUAAGCCAGCUUGACUGCGAGCGUGACGGCGCGAGCAGGUGCGAAAGCAGGUCAUAGUGAUCCGGUGGUUCUGAAUGGAAGGGCCAUCGCUCAACGGAUAAAAGGUACUCCGGGGAUAACAGGCUGAUACCGCCCAAGAGUUCAUAUCGACGGCGGUGUUUGGCACCUCGAUGUCGGCUCAUCACAUCCUGGGGCUGAAGUAGGUCCCAAGGGUAUGGCUGUUCGCCAUUUAAAGUGGUACGCGAGCUGGGUUUAGAACGUCGUGAGACAGUUCGGUCCCUAUCUGCCGUGGGCGCUGGAGAACUGAGGGGGGCUGCUCCUAGUACGAGAGGACCGGAGUGGACGCAUCACUGGUGUUCGGGUUGUCAUGCCAAUGGCACUGCCCGGUAGCUAAAUGCGGAAGAGAUAAGUGCUGAAAGCAUCUAAGCACGAAACUUGCCCCGAGAUGAGUUCUCCCUGAGACUUUAGGUCUCCUGAAGGAACGUUGAAGACGACGACGUUGAUAGGCCGGGUGUGUAAGCGCAGCGAUGCGUUGAGCUAACCGGUACUAAUGAACCGUGAGGCUUAACCUUACA